rnacentral:rRNA from 1 species
GGCUAAAUACUCCUGACUGACCGAUAGUGAACCAGUACCGUGAGGGAAAGGCGAAAAGAACCCCGGCGAGGGGAGUGAAAAAGAACCUGAAACCGUGUACGUACAAGCAGUGGGAGCCUCUUUUAUGGGGUGACUGCGUACCUUUUGUAUAAUGGGUCAGCGACUUAUAUUCUGUAGCAAGGUUAACCGAAUAGGGGAGCCGAAGGGAAACCGAGUCUUAACUGGGCGUUAAGUUGCAGGGUAUAGACCCGAAACCCGGUGAUCUAGCCAUGGGCAGGUUGAAGGUUGGGUAACACUAACUGGAGGACCGAACCGACUAAUGUUGAAAAAUUAGCGGAUGACUUGUGGCUGGGGGUGAAAGGCCAAUCAAACCGGGAGAUAGCUGGUUCUCCCCGAAAGCU